AACGAACGCUGGCGGCAGGCUUAACACAUGCAAGUCGAACGCCCCGCAAGGGGCGUGGCAGACGGGUGAGUAUCGCGUGGGAAUCUACCCAUCCCUACGGAAUAACGCAUGGAAACGUGUGCUAAUACCGUAUACGCCCUACGGGGGAAAGAUUUAUCGGGGAUGGAUGAGCCCGCGUUGGAUUAGCUAGUUGGUGGGGUAAAGGCCUACCAAGGCGACGAUCCAUAGCUGGUCUGAGAGGAUGAUCAGCCACAUUGGGACUGAGACACGGCCCAAACUCCUACGGGAGGCAGCAGUGGGGAAUAUUGGACAAUGGGCGCAAGCCUGAUCCAGCCAUGCCGCGUGAGUGAUGAAGGCCUUAGGGUUGUAAAGCUCUUUCACCGGAGAAGAUAAUGACGGUAUCCGGAGAAGAAGCCCCGGCUAACUUCGUG
rnacentral:rRNA from 1 species